CAACUUUCAACAACGGAUCUCUUGGCUCUUGCAUCGAUGAAGAACGCAGCGAAAUGCGAUAAGUAAUGUGAAUUGCAGAAUUCAGUGAAUCAUCGAAUCUUUGAACGCACCUUGCGCCCCUUGGUAUUCCGAGGGGCAUGCCUGUUUGAGUGUCAUGU
rnacentral:rRNA from 1 species